AUUCCCUCAGCGACAACAGGCAGAGAGGAUCUUAAUUCGGUACCUUCAGCCCCAAACCAUGAUCUUUCUAUCUGAACUUUAGCUCUUCUGAGGACCAAACGACAAGCACUGGGGUUUGUUUCUAAAGCUGACACCUUUUCACAAUGAAAAAGACAACUUCUGGAGACCAGACUUUUUACACUCAACGUAAGAAACAAAAUAGUGUCAGAGAGAAAUGAAAACGACCCGGGAAAGCCUGUGGGGUUACAGACAACUUAGCUUUCACUGGGACUUGAAGCUUUCUAUAAGCACUUGGCUUUCACUAUCACGGUGAACAUUUUAUCUGAUAAACGGGAUUAGCUGUGGUCCUCAUUCAGCAGAGGCUUAUAAAGAAAUGAAGAAACUUCUGAACUAGACCCCAAGCAGGGGACUCCGUGCACACUGCACUGCUCUGGGAGGACCAUGCACACACAAUGGGGCACCAUUGUGGUGAAUCCAGACACGCAGUUUUGAAGAGCGUGAAGCUCAGACUGCAGAAGACUCCAGGCCCAGACUGGAGGUGAUUUGAAGCAUUAAGGAUCCAUUUGAAGCAUCCUGAUUUGGUGUUUAGAGAGCAACCCGUUCUGAAAUGCUGGAGUCCCGGGCACUAUGGGUCCACCUCGGUUUUACUCAGCUCCUUAGCUGAGUGGUUUUCUUUUGAAUCAAGUCAUGACUUGAAGAUACAAUGGCACACGGCAAGUUCGAGAACCUCCCUCCCUUUGGCUUCUACACAGCUGCCCCUCCAGGCUGAAACACAGUCGCCAGUUUGUCUUCCUUGCUGGCUACCAUGAAGCUACCGUGCUGAGAACGAGGCCAGCAUUUUCCUCUGAACCUCUGGUGCUGACUCUUCGGCAUCAGUGAACCCAAGGCCAGCCUUCUGGAAGGAAUCAGCUCAACUGCCAGCUUCAGACCACACAGGGCCUGGAUGAUGAUGGAAAUCCAUAAGUUCCAGAAACGACUUUUAAAGAAGUCAGCACAAGGGCUGGGGAGGAGGCAGUUGCCACACAUUGAGAGUCAGAGUUCAGGUUCCCAGAAACCUAUAUAAACACCGAGGGAGCA
ensembl:lncRNA